UACGUAGGGUGCAAGCGUUAAUCGGAAUUACUGGGCGUAAAGCGUGCGCAGGCGGUUUUGUAAGUCUGUCGUGAAAUCCCCCGGGCUCAACCUGGGAAUUGCGAUGGAGACUGCAAGGCUAGAAUCUGGCAGAGGGGGGGUAGAAUUCCACGUGUAGCAGUGAAAUGCGUAGAGAUGUGGAGGAACACCGAUGGCGAAGGCAGCCCCCCUGGGUCAAGAUUGACGCUCAUGCACGAAAGCUGGGGAGCAAACAGG
rnacentral:rRNA from 1 species